rfam:Schistosoma mansoni, Puerto Rico, WGS project CABG01000000 data, contig: 0230
AUCCGGCUGAUGAGUCCCACAUAGGACGAAACGCGCGUCCUGGAU